CUCAACAAUAGGCAAAAAAUCUUACCCCUAUAUAGCAGGGUGCCGGUGGAGAGGCAUUGUAUACCCUAAAUGGCAUGCGUGUUGCCAUGCUGUAUAAAGUAGCGGGCUACAGAGAGCCUAAACAGAUGGCUCCAAUCCGGCAGUGCAUUGAAGAGUAGCCCGGUGGUGGUUAAUAGAAAUCAGCAUAAAUGACAAUGAAACGAGCACCGGCACCAUGAAACGCAGGGACCUGGUGUGGCCAAGGCUCGCCUGCACCUGGCAGCUUGGCCCAGGUGCUGCGGGUGGUGGUGGCACCGCUCCAGCUGAAGGGACACGGGCAUCGGGUGCGAGUGGCUCUGUGUCUGGGAUGGUCCCCAAGUCACAGCCAAGGCACGAGGAGCUGCCAGCACCACGUGCGGUGCAGGGAUCGCCCUGGCGCUGACACCAGUCCAGCACAGCUGGUGAUAUAAAUGGUGAUGCCAUUUGUUUUUGUUCCACAACGUACUAAAAAAUUGCAUUGUUUGGUAUAGUCACAGCCUGAGCUUCAUCGCUUGAAGGAACUCCUACAUCCUACACCUUCUGCUAACCGAAAUGCAAGCUGUGGUUGAUCUGGGGACAAUUACGCCUUUUUUUUCCCGGUUAAACUCGUGUCCCUGUGAGCCAAAUUCUCCCCCUGACUUCCAAGGGCUUAUGAAACAGCAGGUGGUGCGCUGCCCUGCCCCGUCCUUCUGCUGAGGGAUGCUCCGAGACAAAACGAAACGCAGGAGAGAAGAGGUGUGCGGGGACAAAAAGCAAGGGCUGAGCAUGUUUAUUGAAGGGAUGUUGCCCUGAAGGGACGCUUCACGGCACGUUUUGCCUGUUAGGAGCGGGGUGACUGGGGCACUGAUGGAGGUGGCGGUGGGUGGGCACCGGAGCUGAGCACGGACACGCGGCUGUGUCCUCAUCUCUGUCAGUGAGCGGGGAUGGAAGUGGAAACUGGAGAGGGGAUGAAGUGGAAAUUGGAGAGGGGAUGGAAGAGGAAAACCUCGGAGCCCAACGCCUCCCGCCCUAAGAGCGCCUCAGGGCUGAGGCGCGCGCGGGAGCCGCGCCGUGCGCGCCCCCUGGGGGCCGGCGUCGGGGGCGCGCAGCGGCGGCGCGGUCACGUGCCCGUGACAGCAGCGGCGCCGUGCCCGGCCGGCAGCAGUCGCGGCAGCGGCACCGCAGCGCCAGGCGCCGCCAGCCCAGCCCAGCCCAGCCCAGCCCAGCCCGGGGAAGGAGCGGGGCCGGGCGGCUGCGGCCAGCCGGGAGGGAGCCGGCAGCGGCGGGAAAGCCGAUGUGAGGAGCGAUCGCGGGCGGGCGGCGGCGGCGGCAGCAGCAGCGGCCAUGGCGGGGCCCCGCUGAAGGAAGCAGCGAGGGAGGAGGAGGAGGAGGAGGAGGGCGAGGAGGAGGAGGAGGAGGAGGAGGAGGAGGAGGGCAGAGCCCCCCGCGCCAGCAUGGCGGACCGCAGCCUGGACAGCGUGUCGCUGCCCCUGGAGGUGCGGGCCCGCCUGGCCGAGCUGGAGCUGGAGCUCUCCGAAGGUAAAACAGAUAAAUAAAUGCAUUAUAUAUAUAUAUAUAUAAUAAAUUUUAAAAAUGGGGAGGGGGGGAACGCGGG
rnacentral:lncRNA from 1 species